AGGACGAACGCUGGCGGCGUGCUUAACACAUGCAAGUCGAGCGAGGCUCCUCCUUCGGGAGGAUGCCCUAGCGGCGAACGGGUGAGUAACACGUGGGCAACCUGCCCCUAGCACUGGGAUAACCCCGGGAAACCGGGGCUAAUACCGGAUACGACUUCGGAAGGCAUCUUCUGAAGUGGAAAAGGUUACUGGCUAGGGAUGGGCCCGCGGCCUAUCAGCUUGUUGGUGGGGUAAUGGCCCACCAAGGCGACGACGGGUAGCCGGCCUGAGAGGGCGACCGGCCACACUGGGACUGAGACACGGCCCAGACUCCUACGGGAGGCAGCAGUGGGAAUAUUGCACAAUGGGCGAAAGCCUGAUGCAGCGACGCCGCGUGAGGGAUGACGGCCUUCGGGUUGUAAACCUCUUUCAGCAGGGACGAAGCGAAAGUGACGGUACCUGCAGAAGAAGCACCGGCCAACUACGUGCCAGCAGCUGC
rnacentral:rRNA from 1 species